rnacentral:rRNA from 1 species
GACGAACGCUGGCGGCGUGCUUAACACAUGCAAGUCGAACGGUAAGGCCCUUCGGGGUACACGAGUGGCGAACGGGUGAGUAACACGUGGGUGAUCUGCCCUGCACUUCGGGAUAAGCCUGGGAAACUGGGUCUAAUACCGGAUAGGACCACUGCCUGCAUGGGUGGUGGUGGAGAGCUUUUGUGGGGUGGGAUGGGCCCGUGGCCUAUCAGCUUGUUGGUGGGGGGCUGGCCUACCAAGGCGACGACGGGUAGCCGGCCUGAGAGGGUUACCGGCCACACUGGGACUGAGAUACGGCCCAGACUCCUACGGGAGGCAGCAGUGGGGAAUAUUGCACAAUGGGCGCAAGCCUGAUGCAGCGACGCCGCGUGAGGGAUGACGGCCUUCGGGUUGUAAACCUCUUUCAGCACCGACGAAGCGCAAGUGACGGUAGGUGCAGAAGAAGGACCGGCCAACUACGUGCCAGCCGCCGCCGUAA